AGCAAUAUGGUGUAGUGGUAGGAUGAAGGGCUUGUAACCAAAAGGUUGCUGGUUCGUUUCCCAGAUGGUGCAC